rnacentral:snRNA from 1 species
GGAUGUGAGGGCGAUCUGGUUGCGACAUCUGUCACCCCAUUGAUCGCCAGGGUUGAUUCGGCUGAUCUGGCUGGCUAGGCGGGUGUCCCCUUCCUCCCUCACCGCUCCAUGUGCGUCCCUCCCGAAGCUGCGCGCUCGGUCGAAGAGGACGACCAUCCCCGAUAGAGGAGGACCGGUCUUCGGUCAAGGGUAUACGAGUAGCUGCGCUCCCCUGCUAGAACCUCCAAACAAGCUCUCAAGGUCCAUUUGUAGGAGAACGUAGGGUAGUCAAGCUUCCAAGACUCCAGACACAUCCAAAUGAGGCGCUGCACGUGGCAGUCUGCCUUUCUUUU